CAGUCUUCCUAGAAGAAAUGUUUAAAUGAAUAAUUGGAUGGAAACACAAAGGAAUAAACAUUAAUGGAGAGUAUCUUAACCGAUAUUUGCAGAUGACACAGUACUUUUUACCCAAACACUGAAUGAUCUACAGAAAAUGCUAAGUGGCCUCAAGCUAGAAAACAAGGAAAUAGGACUGCAAAUGGAUUAUGAGAAGACAAAGGUAACAUUCAACACAAAAAUAAACCUAUAUCCAAUAAUGAUAAAAGGUUAGACAAUUAAAAAGAUGGAAGAAUAUAAGUACUUAAGAAAAAUAAUCACAGUAAAAAGUAAAAAAUAAUAAGGAGAACAAAUGAAAGAAAUUCAAUAUAGGAUGUCCUAUAUUGAAUUUCCUUCAUUCUAUAGCAACUUCCUAAGGGAUAAUAUGAUACCAAUAUACUCAAAAGAAAAACUUUUCAGUAUGUUCAUACUACCAGUAAUAAUGUCUGUGAAACAUGGGACCCUUUACAAAGAAAAUGAAACAGAAACUAGCAACAACCCAAGAAGCAUGGAAAGAUUUGUGUUAGGAUUCAUUAGAAGCGAUUAUAAGACCGACACUUGAAUAAGGGAACAACCAAAGUAAGACACAAUUGUAGGAGUUAGAAGCAAAAUGGCAUUGGGCAAAUCACACAGCAAGAUAAAGUAGUAUGUCACAAUUCAACACUAAUCCAUUGUCAAACCAGCAUUGAAUGGAUAAACUGUUGAAUUGCAGGACAAUAUUUCCCAUAUAAGACUAUGGAAAAUAGAUUAAUUCAUUGUCAGACUCCCAUCCUACUUUCCCUAAAAGGGAGGGGAGAGAGUUAAACUAUAUUAUUUUGUUUCCUAUAUAUAUUUUACUUUUGUAUAACACAUUAAAUUACAAAGUAUUUUAUUUUAUACACAAUACAUAUAAUUUAUUAGCCCUUGGAUGUUGGAAUUAAAUCUUCUUUAUUCUGUUCUAACUUUUAAUCUAUAAAAAAAAAAUCAGCCUUGACUUCUUUAAAUUCCUCAGUUUGGUCUGAGGUACAUCCUAGAGUUUUCUUUAGCAAUUCUUUGAAAAUUAAUCUAGCCUUCUCACAGAUCAUUGCCUGAGUU
rnacentral:lncRNA from 1 species